UCAUUAGUAAUUGCCUUAUCACGAAAUAUAAAAGAAAUUUCCGCGUGCGUUGUCCAGAUUUGGCUGUAAGUUUUACUUUGAUCACAGACUGAUUUCAUUUCCGAACAUACAGGAUCUCGCAAAGGAACUCCUUGAUCUGUUUACUGCAAAGAAAAUGGCAAAAGCAUUUUUCACAAACAGCGGGUCGGAAGCCAAUGACACACAGGUUUCAAUUAGUUUCUCUUACCCUUUUAGGAAUGAUUUUUAGAAUAUUAACAACUUUUGACACUUACGCUUCGAUAUUAGGUGAAGCUGGUAUGGUAUUACAACAAUGCACUUGGGAGGCCAGACAAAAAGAAAUUUAUUGCCCGAACAAAAUCGUAAUCUUUACUCCUCAACCCCUGCUUCUUUUCAUGUGUGCGUGUGUAUGUGUGUUGUUUUUUGUUUGGCUAAUAUAUCAUCAUGUUUGUCGUCUUCAAACAGAUACCUCGAACAAAAUCGUAAUCUUUACUCCUCAACCCCUGCUUCUUUUCAUGUGUGCGUGUGUAUGUGUGUUGUUUUCUGUUUGGCUAAUAUAUCAUCAUGUUUGUCGUCUUCAAACAGAUACCACGGGUCAACUCUCAUUUCCGCGAGUCUCUCUGGGUAAUCAACUUAUCUGUUCCGAGCAAUCAGUGAUUUUCGUUUCAAGUAUUCGUUAUGUUAACAUUUUCUUUUGCAGUCUUCCUGCACUACAUCAGAAAUUUGAUCUACCAGCUCCAUUUGUUCUGCAUACCGACUGCCCUCAUUAUUGGCGCUUUCAUCUGCCAGGUCCUUAUUUUUCAUACAUGUUAUUUUAUCCGUAUCUCGUCUAAGUCAAUGCGCCAAACAUGAACUUUUUACGAAAAUGUGUUAUGUUAUGUGUAUUUCAGAUGAGACGGAAGAGGAGUUCGCGACAAGGUUGGCGAAUAAUUUGGAAAAUCUCAUACCAUUUUAUCCAUAUCUCGUAUAAGUCAAUGCGCCAAACAUGAACUUUUUACGAAACUGUGUAUGUUAUGUGUAUUUCAGAUGAGACGGAGGAGGAGUUCGCGACAAGGUUGGCGAAUAAUUUGGAAAAUCUCAUACUCAAAGAGGGGCCGGAAACAGUAACUUCCAUCUACUUUCAUCACUUAUUCUCUUGUUUUCUCCACAUCGUAUAUAAAUGGUGAACUGAUUUUCUGAUUAAUUUACUUCGUUCAUCAACUAGAUAGCUGCUUUCAUUGCGGAACCAGUCAUGGGGGCAGGAGGUGUCAUACCUCCUCCCGCGACCUAUUUUGAAAAGGUCAGUUUUUCUUGCACAUUUUAAUUUUCAAAUGAGGAAAGAAUACUACUAUGAAUUGCUAGUUUUUUUUUGCAUCGACAAGUGAGCUCGUCAAUGCAUCCUACUCAUUUUCAGAUCCAAGCUGUACUGAAGAAGUACGACAUUCUUCUCAUCGCGGAUGAGGUCAUAUGUGGAUUUGGAAGGCUCGGGACAAUGUUCGGAUGUGAAAAGUACAACAUUAAACCCGAUCUUGUCUCUGUAGCAAGGGUAGAUAUAACUCUAUCUGAUCUACGAAAUUAUAACGUAUAUCAGGAUUCUCAAUUUUUUUCUCUUAACUAUGCUUUUUAGGCUCUUUCAUCCGGAUAUAUGCCCAUCGGAGCAGUCCUUGUAAGCCCCAAGGUUACCGAUGUCAUAUAUUCUCAAAGCAACAAACUUGGUGAGUAUAUUGUCCAUUCGAUAGGACAUCAAAUACUUCUCCAUCUCGGUAUCUAAACUGUUCAUAACUCUCUUUUUUGACUAGGUACAUUUUCCCAUGGAUUUACUUAUUCCGGUCACCCUGUCUCAUGUGCGGUUGCCUUGGAAACACUGAAGAUCUACAAGUAUGCAACCUUUUUAUUAUAUCAAAAUAGGUAUGUUGCUCGGACUCUUCAAAAUUGUCAACAGAUGCAUGUCAGAUCCUCAUUGACACGAGUGCACGGGCAGCAUUUUGGAGAGUCCGAGCAACAUAGAAAAUAAUGGUUUCACAACUAGGGGUGUUGUGUACUUACCUAUCGCUUAAGCACUGAAACAACUCGAAUUCUUUUCAGGGAAAGGAAUAUUAUUGAGCAAGUAAACAGAAUAUCGCCAAAGUUCCAAGAAGGUCUGAAAGCAUUUUCCAACAGUCCCAUAAUCGGGGAGGUACAUUAAUCAUCGACAAUAGAAUCAGCUUAGACGUCUUAAUAACCUAUCGUUCAUAUUAUCAACUUACUUUUCGUUCUUUUUUCAGAUAAGGGGAACUGGUUUGCUACAUGGUACAGAGUUCACAGAUAACAAAUCUCCUAAUGAUCCUUUCCCUCCUGAAUGGGGUAUGUUUCUCAUCUUAGCUUACGUUAAAAUCUAGUUUCAGUCCUGACAAAUCAUUAGUUCUUUUGCUCAGGUAUCGGUGCAUAUUUUGGAGCACAGUGUGAGAAACACGGUAUGUUAGUACGCGUUGCUGGUGACAACAUAAUGAUGUCUCCUCCCUACAUUCUUAGUCUGGAAGAAAUUGACGAGGUAUGGUCUCAUCACUCCCGCGUCUGCUAGAAAUAUUUGAAGAACUCGACACACAUUUGCAUUUCAAUAACCUCAGAACUCACUUUGUUGUUAUAUACCGCGUGAAAUGAACACAAAAACAUAUGUUAUAUGUUUAUAUGAUCCAUUAGGAACCAUUUGUUGCAAUGGCGAAGUUGUUUCCUUAUAACAGCUACAAACAUUAAACGUUCCACCACAACAACAUAUCCACGUAAUCUCGCAAGUAGGGAACAUUAAACGUUCCACGAAAGCUGGAAAAUCAUUAAAACUUUUUUUUUUUUUUGCAGUUGAUAAUCAAAUAUGGGAAAGCAUUGAAGGAUACUGAAAAGAGAGUGGAAGAACUCAAGGCUCAUCAGAAGUAAAAAAAGCUGUUAAUUAGACUUACAUGCCUGAAUGUAAAUAUAUGUAACGAUUAGUUUUACGCUGACAGUCAACCUACAUCGACUGGUCUUUACCUAUGUGGUUUUAACCAUCUAUGCAUUGUGAAAUGAUUUUGGUUGAUAAUUGAAAAAAGAAAGUAAAUAUUUUCAAGUUAUGCUGGGAAAAAAAAGAUAUUUGGAAACAUAAAGUUGUAAGUUUUGUGGUGAACACUUGGAAUUAUAUCGGGCUCGAUCAUAAAGCUACUAAAGCAAUGGCUUGAGGUUCCAACUUUUUGGAGGCUCCAUUUUUUAAAAUAUUUUUAUUAACUGACAACAGGAUACAUGUAAAAAGAUAUUUGGAAACAUAAAGUUGUAAGUUUUGUGGUGAACACUUGGAAUUAUAUCGGGCUCGAUCAUAAAGCUACUAAAGCAAUGGCUUGAGGUUCCAACUUUUUGGAGGCUCCAUUUUUUAAAAUAUUUUUAUUAACUGACAACAGGAUACAUGUAAAGCACACAAAAUACACAUAAGAUGCAAGGAUGACACAUAAGAUACAUGUGUGAUGCAGCUAAUUUUAUUGAAUAUACUUGAAACCUCUGAUUAAAAUUUGGCUUUAGGCCACCAAAUUCAUUGAGCCGACCCUGCUUAUACAUACAAAUUCUAAAGGCAUGAUACAUAAGCACACACUCAAAACUUGGCCUUAGUUGCCAAGUAAACACUUCAACUUUGAGAGUGCACGCCUAGACACCUCAAUUGGCAACCAAACCGUCCAACUCGUUUUUAUUGUGUCUCGUGGACACCUGACACUAACGUGCAUAAACAUCAGGAGGUAUGCAGAUGAUCAUUUUAUAACAACUUAUAUUGUUGAGACAAGCUGAGGUGUUAAGAUGUGGAUACUCAACGUUGGAGGAUUUACUUGUCAACUGAUUGUUUUACUUGCCAACCUAUUUUGAUCCAAGCAAUCUUAGGUGAAUUCAUAAUUCUUUUACGAAGAAGGAAUGAAUAUAUUCCCGAACUUUGAUAAAUAGUAUAGAUAUACCCUUCGUCAUGUCUUAGGUACAAAUAUACUCUUACCGUUAAUGAAAAGGUAUAUAUAUACCCCUGAACUUUGAUAAAUGAUACAAAUAUACAGUCCAUCAUACUUUAAGUACAAAUAUACUCUUGCGUUAAUAAAAAGGUACAUAUAUACUCUUCUCACUAACGUCAGGGUACGCGUCACAAUCCUGUUCAUUUGCUUUUUUUAAUUUAAUUUAUCCCAAUCUCACCCCAAAAUAAUUUUAAUUUAAUCCAUAACCCAAUCCAAAUAAUAAUUCAAACCUGACCCGGUCUAAUAGAAAGAGAAAGAGAGAAUGAAUAUGCAUGAAUAGAGAUGCGUCUUGAAGGCUCUGUUAGACCGGGUCAGGCUUGGGUUAUUAUUUGGAUCGGUUUGUAGGUUAAAUUAGAAUUAUUUUCUGGUAGGAUGAGAAUAAAUUAAAUUAAAAAGGGUAAAUGAACAAGAUUGAGACACAUGUCCUGCCGUUAGUGAGAAGGGUAUAUAUGUAUUUUUUCAUUAACAAUAAGAGUAUAUUUAUACCUAAAGUAUGACGGAGAGUAUAUCUGUACCAUUUCUCAAAGUUUAUGUAUGUAUCUUUUCAUUAAUAAGAAUAUAUUUGUACCUAAAAUAAAAUAAUGGAUAUAUUUGUAUCAUUUAUCAAAGUUGAGAGAUAUAUUUAUAUAUUUUCUUUUUUAAAUAUAUAAAUAAAAUAACCCAAAAAUUGAUAUGAUAUAAGUUUUUAAAAAUAACCCGGAGAGAGGGAGAGUGACUGCCAGCUUAAAGGGAAGACGGACAAUUAGUUAAGACAGUAACCGAUAAGGGAAGGAAAUUUGGAGGAUUCAAAAUAUGAUAAUUACUUCCUAAAUUAUAGGAUUUGAUUUUUUGCUAUAAAUAUAAUUGCUAUUUUUAGGGGAAAAAAAUUUAAGAGGGGGAAGGGGUUCAUUCGAAUUCCUUUAGUUCGAAAAUAAUACUAUAUAUACAAGUUAAGUUUUUGUCUCAAACUUAUCGAAUUAGAGGCGAAGCUAGAAUUUUAAAUGUACAAAUGUACAGAUUCUAGAUUUUAGAAAAAGAGAGUUACAUCUGCACAUAUUAAGUGGAUUUUGUUGGGACUGUGUGUAACUUGACUCAAACUCCGCACUAGUAUGAUAUUGUCCGCUUUGGGUUAAGCUCUUACGGAUUUAUUUUUUUCCAGAAGGUUUCAUACUAGUAGAGUUGGGUGACACUUUAAAUAUUGGAUAUGUUCCCUCUAUUUUGUACCACCGUUAUCACCCAACGGGACACGCCGCGUAACCACCACUCGACCGGAAGACUUUCAACACAAAGUGGAUCUUGUUGGGACUAUGUGUAACUUGACUCUUACUCCACACUAGUAUGAUAUUGUCCGCCUUGGGUCAAGCCCUUAUGGAUUUAUUUUUGGACACCUCCCAGAAGGCCUCAUACUAGUAGAGUUGGGUGACACUUUAAAUAUUGGAUAUGUUCUCUCUAUUUUGUACCACCGUUAUCACCCAACGGGACACGCCGCCUAACCACCACUCGCCAGAAAGACUUUCGACACAAGGCACCACUUGCAGAUCUCCAGUCUUGUUGUCACACUGGGAACUUCUCAUCAAACGCAGUCCACUACUUCGACACACCCGAAUCUGAGCUUUGAUACCACUUGUUGGGACUGUGUGUAACUUCACCCAAACUCUAUACUAGUAUGAUAUUGUUCGCUUUGGACCAAACCCUCACGGAUUUGUUUUUGAGCACCUCCCAAAAGGUUCAUACCAGUGGAGUUGGGUGACACUUUAAAUAUUAGACAUGUUCCCUCUAUUUUUUCGAUGUAGGAUUGCUUUGCUUCCCAACAGUACUUUACCGAACUAGUAAUAUUUAAAGUCCUAUUGAUAUUUUUUAAGAGCCAGAACAACAUAGCAUACAAGCACGUCUUGAUAAAAAUUAUGUUUCCACUACUAAUUAUAAUAAUUGAAUUAUUAAGAAGGUAGAAUUUUGAAUUUAUGGAUUCUAGAUUUUAGAAAAAGAGAGUUGAAUCUGUACAUAUUAAGUGGGUCUUUUAACACGGCUUUUGCACCAAAAUUACUAAUUUUGUCGAACCAGUAAUUUAAAUGCCUAUUAAUAUUUUUUAAGAAUUCGAACAACAUAGCAUAUAAGUACAUCAUGAUAAAAAUUUUGUCUCCACUAUUAAUUACAAUAAUUGAAUUACUAAGAAGCUAGAAUUUUUAGUUUAUAAGUUUUACAUUUUAGAUAGAGAAAGUUAUUGGGCUGUUGAUAAAUUAUUUAUACAUAUUACAUUAAUUUUUUUUAACAGUGUAUCUAUAUCAAAGCUAUUGAGUUCGGCCAAACUAAUAAACGAAAUGAUAGCUCUACCCCGCGUCCAUUCUUCAAAAAUUAGGAAAUUCUCAAAAAAAUUAAAAAAAAAUAAAAAAUUUAAGGAUUUAAUAUGCACCUGUCGACAUUUUUCUAAAGUCUGAACAACAUAUACAAGUAUGUCUUGUUAAAAAUUCUGUCUCCGCACAAAUUAUAAUAAUUGAAUGACUUAAAGAGGAAUUGAAAGAAAUGUAGAAUAUACCUCUCUAAUUUCUGAGAAGCUAACUGCAUAAAAUGUAACAGCAGCUGCUGCUAUAAUUCCAAGUAUUGGAAGUCCUACUUGUUGAAUUCCAUCCAUUUUUCUUGUGUGUGUGUUUUCUUUUUUAGUUUUUGUGCUUGGAUUUGAUAUUUUGAUUUCUAAUUUCUCUUUUUAAUUGUUUUUUGGGAUGACAUUGGAUAAGAUAUCUUGUAUGUGGAUAAAUUGAGAUAAGGAUGUGUAGUGGCCCAAACUCAAAUUGUUAUCCUAGAGAGUCCUUCCUGCUACAUUUCUUCUGUUUUAAAGGCUUAAAU
rnacentral:lncRNA from 1 species